GACGAACGCUGGCGGUGUGCUUAACACAUGCAAGUGGAGCGACGAACCAGGGCUUGCCCUGGGGCAGAGCCGCGAACGGGUGAGUAACACGUGGGUAACCUACCCCGAUGACUGGGACAACCCGAGGAAACUCGGGCUAAUACCGGAUGUGCUCGGAGUUCACGAGAACCCCGAGUAAAGGAAGCUUCGGCCUCCGCAUUGGGAGGGGCCCGCGGCCCAUUAGCUUGUUGGUGGGGUAACGGCCUACCAAGGCUGCGAUGGGUAGCUGGUCUGAGAGGACGAUCAGCCACACUGGGACUGAGACACGGCCCAGACUCCUACGGGAGGCAGCAGUGGGGAAUCUUGCGCAAUGCGCGAAAGCGUGACGCAGCAACACCGCGUGAGGGAAGACGGCCUUCGGGUUGUAAACCUCUUUCAGGAGGGACGAAGGUAGACCGGUGAAUAGCCGUGUCGACUGACGGUACCUCCAGAAGAAGCACCGGCUAACUACGUGCCAGCCGCCGCCGUAAGAC
rnacentral:rRNA from 1 species